UCAUCCAUCCAUCCUUCGUUCAUCUGCUCUAUCUCUCAAAACAAAUGUGUUAAAUUUCAAAAUCUGAUCCCACAUCUAGAAACAAAAGAUAUCGAUUCUAAUCUGAUCCCACGAGUCUCCUACUUUACUUGACUAGCUAACAACAAAAGAUAUCGAUUUUCAUUUUGUUGAUGUAAAUCUCAAUCUUGAGAUAAGUAGGAGACUCGUUGCAACUGGAGAGUUAGAAGAGGUAAACAACAAUAAUUUUGAUUUCAGUUUUUGAAGUUAUGAGAAUCAAAUUUCCGCUCAAAUAUGGUUCAUUUUCUUCUUUAUAUCUAAAUCUAGUUUGGAGUUAUUGGAGUUUGAAGGGAGGCUGAAUACUAUUUUGAAAAAGGUAAAAAAAAUUCUCAAAGCAAGUGUUUGGCAAGAAUUUGAAGAGAUAGAAGAUUUAUACACUCAAGCUAAUUCAAAAUUUCUACGAACUAAGUUGUCCAGAGUAUGUAUACAAAAGCACAAUUUCUCCUUGUGACACACCCCAUGAUUUGCCCAUCAAAAGUGGUGGUUGUUGGCGUCUCUUCAAUAUGAAGCAAUAGAAUCCGGGUCAGGUUUUUAUCAACCUUAAAUGGGAGUUUGUCCGGAGACAACUUUUAUUCAAGCUAGGAAGCAAAUUAGUAAAAUUCUACUGAAAAUUGCCUCUUACUAAAGAUGGCCUCAGUAGUCGAAAUAGAUGAUGACAUAUUUUGGGAGUGAAAAUUUUGUUCAUACAUCGGUUUAAUGUUUAGAGAUGA